CCAACUGCCUUGAGCCCAGCAAAGUGGAUGACAGAGUCAAAUUUUGUUUUAGAGAAAACUUUUUCUAGAGCUGGCUUGUCCCGGAGGUCAACCUGGUGAAACAAGAGAUUCUUUUUGUGUUCGCCGGCGAGUUCCUUGACUCUUUCGAGAGCAACAGCGGAGGAAUUAUCGAGAUUAUCGACAACGACAGGCGGAGUAACCGCCUAAAAGGAGUUGAAGAACUGUGUGACUCCCAAUGUAACCGGCACCACCGGUGACCAGAAUAUUCUUCGCCAUGAGCGAAACCUCACAGAGUAACUUACAGAGAGAGAAAAGCGGUAGCAGUUAUAGUUUCUUUUGGGGGGACUUAUAGAGAAGCA
rnacentral:misc_RNA from 1 species